GAAAGGGUUGACUCAGAGUUAGCUUAGCUGUGUUUGUUAUUUUCAUCUAUUUCCUCUUUUGCUGCUAGAGCCUGUCUAAGGUACUGUUGGGCUGAGGCGGGAACACCUGGACCGAUCCAGAGGCUGGAACGAGCACGCCCUCCCCGCCAGUCCAGUGAAUAAACUGGCCAGCUAAGCGGGGAUCAUUGAUUGAUUGAUUUAUCAAUGGUGUCACGGUGUACAUCACAUGAUAGCCAAUCCAGUAUAUCAAUGGCAGAGAGCCUUCCUGCAUCCACGCUACUGCAGAGAGACGGGAAUCCCUCUGCCACCUGCUCUGGCAUUUUUUUUCUUUCAACAUUCUCUUACAGACAUCUCUUUUUUAAAAUUCUACUAACAUGGACUUUUUUUACACCCAAUAUGAGGGAUGCCUGUUGCUCUUUUUUCCAUCACAUCCAGGUCCUGUGCAUUGUUUAUAGGCUCAGAUGUUGUCGCCUGGCAACAAGAAAAUGUGUUACCUUACCCCAUAAGAAUGUUCUGUGACUCCCCUCUAAAGGAUGCUAAACAGAACCUGCAGGACAGAGACUGGGAACAAAGACGGGAUCGGACGAACUCAAACCUCUGAGCACUUCCAAAUAUGUCCUCAUCAUCCAUGUGCCGUCCUGGGUCCAGCUACGUCUCGACUACUCUGCCACGCCAAAGUCACUCCACGCCACGCACCAUCCGCCGAACUCACCUUGUUGCUCCACUCUGCCGCUCCAGUCCACCGCCGGUCUUCGCUCUCCAUCUCAAGUCACAGAAUCCAUUCCAAGUUCCGGCCGCUACUCCACUUCCUCCACGGACAAUAAAACCUUUCUAACCACUUCUGCCUCCCAUCAUCCUUCCGGGUUCCAGCGUCUGG